UACGGAGGGUGCAAGCGUUAUCCGGAUUCACUGGGUUUAAAGGGUGCGUAGGAGGGCAGGAAAGUCAGUGGUGAAAUCUUCGAGCUUAACUCGGAAACUGCCGUUGAUACUCUCUGUCUUGAAUACCGUGGAGGUGAGCGGAAUAUGUCAUGUAGCGGUGAAAUGCUUAGAUAUGACAUAGAACACCAAUUGCGAAGGCAGCUCACUACACGAAUAUUGACUCUGAGGCACGAAAGCGUGGGGAUCAAACAGGAUUAGAUACCCCCGUAGUCC
rnacentral:rRNA from 1 species